GCUUUGUUAGCUCAGUUGAUACAGCAUCUGACUUGUAAUCCAAGGGUCACAGGUUCAUUUCCUGUCCAGGAUA